AACGAACGCUGGCGGCAUGCCUAACACAUGCGAGUCGAACGAGACCUUCGGGUCUAGGGGCGCACGGGUGCGUAACGCGUGGGAACCUGCCCUUAGGUUCGGAAUAACUCCCCGAAAGGGGUGCUAAUACCGGAUAAUGUCUUCGGACCAAAGAUUUAUCGCCUUUGGAUGGGCCCGCGUUGGAUUAGCUAGUUGGUAGGGUAAAAGCCUACCAAGGCGACGAUCCAUAGCUGGUCUGAGAGGAUGAUCGGCCACACUGGGACUGAGACACGGCCCAGACUCCUACGGGAGGCAGCAGUGGGGAAUAUUGGACAAUGGGCGAAAGCCUGAUCCAGCAAUGCCGCGUGAGUGAUGAAGGCCUUAGGGUUGUAAAGCUCUUUUACCCGGGAUGAUAAUGACAGUACCGGGAGAAUAAGCUCCGGCUAACUCCGUG
rnacentral:rRNA from 1 species